CUACGGGCCGCAGCAGUGGGGAAUAUUGGACAAUGGGGGAAACCCUGAUCCAGCAAUGCCGCGUGUGUGAAGAAGGCCUGCGGGUUGUAAAGCACUUUCGGUUGGGAGGACUGCUUCUAGCACUAAUAUUGUUGGAAGUUGACGUUACCUUCAGAAGAAGCACCGGCUAACUCCGUGCCAGCAGCCGCGGUAAUACGGGGGGUGCAAGCGUUAAUCGGAAUUACUGGGCGUAAAGCGCGCGUAGGCGGCUAGAUCAGUCGGGUGUGAAAGCCCCGGGCUUAACCUGGGAACUGCAUCCGAUACUGGCUAGCUUGAGUACAGGAGAGGAGAGUGGAAUUCCACAUGUAGCGGUGAAAUGCGUAGAUAUGUGGAGGAACACCAAUGGCGAAGGCAGCUCUCUGGCCUGAUACUGACGCUGAGGUGCGAAAGCGUGGGGAGCAAGCAGGAUUAGAUACCCGGGUAGUC
rnacentral:rRNA from 1 species